rnacentral:rRNA from 1 species
GUGCCAGCCGCCGCGGUAAUACGGAGGGUGCAAGCGUUAUCCGGAUUCACUGGGUUUAAAGGGUGCGUAGGUGGGCUAGUAAGUCCGUGGUGAAAUCCCCGAGCUUAACUUGGGAACUGCCAUUGAUACUAUUAGUCUUGAAUAUCGUGGAGGUAAGCGGAAUAUGUCAUGUAGCGGUGAAAUGCUUAGAUAUGACAUAGAACACCAAUUGCGAAGGCAGCUUGCUACACGGUCAUUGACACUGAGGCACGAAAGCGUGGGGAGCAAACAGGAUUAGAAACCCCUGUAGUCC